rnacentral:rRNA from 1 species
GAUGAACGCUGGCGGCGUGCCUAAUACAUGCAAGUCGAGCGAACAGACGAGGAGCUUGCUCCUCUGACGUUAGCGGCGGACGGGUGAGUAACACGUGGAUAACCUACCUAUAAGACUGGGAUAACUUCGGGAAACCGGAGCUAAUACCGGAUAAUAUAUUGAACCGCAUGGUUCAAUAGUGAAAGACGGUUUUGCUGUCACUUAUAGAUGGUUCCGCGCCGCAUUAGCUAGUUGGUAAGGUAACGGCUUACCAAGGCAACGAUGCGUAGCCGACCUGAGAGGGUGGUCGGCCACACUGGAACUGAGACACGGUCCAGACCCCUACGGGAGGCAGCAGUAGGGAAUCUUCCGCAAUGGGCGAAAGCCUGACGGAGCAACGCCGCGUGAGUGAUGAAGGUCUUCGGAUCGUAAAACUCUGUUAUUAGGGAAGAACAAAUGUGUAAGUAACUAUGCACGUCUUGACGGUACCUAAUCAGAAAGCCACGGCUAACUACGUG